GACGAACCGUGCGAACGUUGUUCGGAAUCACUGGGCUUAAAGGGCGCGUAGGCGGGCUAUCAAGUCCGGGGUGAAAUCCUCCAGCUUAACUGGAGAACGGCCUCGGAUACUGAUGGUCUCGAGGAGGAUAGGGGCACACGGAACUGUGGGUGGAGCGGUGAAAUGCGUUGAUAUCGGGAGGAACACCUGUGGCGAAAGCGGCGCACGUGGACCACAACUGACGCUGAGGCGCGAAAGCGUGGGGAGCCAAACAGGG
rnacentral:rRNA from 1 species